UGCAGCUCGAGUGGUGGCCGCUAUUAUUGGGCCUAAAACGUCCGUAGCCGGCUUAUUAAAUGCCUGGGUAAAUCGUACGGCUUAACCGUACGAAUUCCGGGUAGACUGAUAGGCUUGGGACCGGGAGAAGCUAGAGGUACUCCUGGGGUAGAGGUGAAAUUCUGUAAUCCUAGGGGGACCACCAGUGGCGAAGGCGUCUAGCUAGAACGGGUUUGACGGUGAGGGACGAAGCCCUGGGGAGCAAACGG
rnacentral:rRNA from 1 species